AUUGAACGCUGGCGGCAGGCUCAACACAUGCAAGUCGAGCGGGGGAAGGUAGCUUGCUACCGGACCUAGCGGCGGACGGGUGAGUAAUGCUUAGGAAUCUGCCUAUUAGUGGGGGACAACAUCUCGAAAGGGAUGCUAAUACCGCAUACGUCCUACGGGAGAAAGCAGGGGAUCUCCGGACCUUGCGCUAAUAGAUGAGCCUAAGUCGGAUUAGCUAGUUGGUGGGGUAAAGGCCUACCAAGGCGACGAUCUGUAGCGGGUCUGGGAGGAUGGUCGGCCACACUGGGACUGGGACACGGCCCAGACUCCUACGGGAGGCAGCAGUGGGGUAUAUUGGACAAUGGGGGGAACCCUGAUCCAGCCAUGCCGCGUGUGUGAAGAAGGCCUUAUGGUUGUAGAGCACUUUAAGCGAGGAGGAGGCUCUUUUGGUUAAUACCCAAGAUGAGUGGACGUUACUCGCAGAAUAAGCACCGGCUAACUCUGUGCCAGCAGCCGCCGUAA
rnacentral:rRNA from 1 species